UUGCACCUGUGUGUUUAUUGUCCUACUUUCUACUCGUUGCUAGAAUGCUAGUAAGAUAUGACACUGGUGCAAAAAGGAAAAGAUGCUCCUUGCAGCAGUAGCGGCCAGACAACCGUAGAAAUAGAUCCACAGAUGGGCCAUUUUCUGCUUCUCUACAAAAUCUAUCUCACAUUU